rnacentral:rRNA from 1 species
GAAUUGGANAUGGGCGAAGCCUGAUCCAGCCAUGCCGCGUGUGUGAAGAAGGUCUUCGGAUUGUAAAGCACUUUAAGUUGGGAGGAAGGGCAGUAAGUUAAUACCUUGCUGUUUUGACGUUACCAACAGAAUAAGCACCGGCUAACUUCGUGCCAGCAGCCGCGGUAAUACGAAGGGUGCAAGCGUUAAUCGGAAUUACUGGGCGUAAAGCGCGCGUAGGUGGUUCAGCAAGUUGGAGGUGAAAUCCCCGGGCUCAACCUGGGAACUGCCUCCAAAACUGCUGAGCUAGAGUACGGUAGAGGGUAGUGGAAUUUCCUGUGUAGCGGGGAAAUGCGUAGAUAUA